GUGGGGAAUGAGGUGUAUGCUUAUGUGGCCUUUAUGUCAGCACAGGAAAAGUGUCUUGCCAAGGGGCCCUGCUGCCCGGGACCUAUAUUUUGAGCAAUAUGCUUGUAUUAGUUUCUUAGACUGCUGUAACAAAUUACCACAAACUUGGUGGCUUGCAAUAACAAAUUCAUUUAGUUGUGGAGGCUCAAGUUCUGAAAUGAAGGUGUCGUCAGGGCUGCACUCCCUCCAGGUGAUUGGAUGAGACGUGGGCACCUGAGCUCCAGACAGCCAAUCCAUAGGCUGACCUGCCCACCUCAGUGUGGUCCAGAUUGAGGAUGGGAGCCAGCUAAUCAAGGUGGAAGCUGAGGUUCCCAUGGAAGGCUCUUUGUGACGAUGUGAUGAACCAUCCCUCCCAUGCUCCUUAGUGAUAUCACAUCACUGCUUUUCUCAUCAAGAAGUGAUGUCCUCUCUCCUCUCCUGGAAUCCCAGCUUGGAGACGUGCCCUGUUAGGCCAGUGGGCCAUUCGCAAAUGUGAUGCAAGCAGAGGCUUGAAACCCUCCUUUGUGUGAGGUUUGCCCUCUCUCUGUUGUGGUUGGAGUGGAAACGAGGAUGUGAGCGAGCCUGAGCUCAUCUCCUGAAGAGCCCACAUGGAAAACCGAAGCAUCCCAGCCUGAAGAUUGACAACUGCUAGUUGCGUGUGUGAAGACCUCUGAGCCUAUCCAGCCCGAAUCAGACCACCAGAUGACUGCAGCUGUGAAUGCAGAGCUGGGGCCAGCACGGGUGGAUAGUGUUCUCUGGAGCAGGGCUCCUCAAAGUGUGGGCCACAGACUGGCUGCUUGAUACAGUCCAUGACAAGGAACAGCCCUCCGGCUCCUACACCAGGAACAAAGGAGGUGGGAGAUUAGUGUGGGGGAGAGCAGAGGAAGCAGCCUGCGCAUGUCCAGAGGGGAACGAGAUCAGCUCCACUGGACUCUUGAGAGUCCCUUGGACUGCAAGGAGAUGCAACCAAUCCAUUCUGAAGGAGAUCAGCCCUGGGAUUUCUUUGGAAGGAAUGAUGCUGAAGCUGAAACUCCAGUACUUUGGCCACCUCAUGAGAAGAGUUGACUCAUUGGAAAAGACUCUGAUGCUGGGAGGGAUUGGAGGCAAGAGGAGAAGGGGACGACAGAGGAUGAGAUGGCUGGAUGGCAUCGCCGACUCGAUGGACGUGAGUUUGAGUCAACUCCAGGAGUUGGUGAUGGACAGGGAGGCCUGGUGUGCUGCGAUUCAUGGGGUUGGAAAGAGUCGGACACGACUGAGCGACUGAACUGAACUGAACUGAACUGAAUGCCUAAUGAUGCUGGGCAUCUUUUCAUGUAUUCAUCGUCUACUUGCAUAUCUUCUCUGAAGAAAUAUCUGUUUUGAUCCUUUGCCCAUUUUUAUGUUGGGCUUUUUAUCUUUUUAUUAUUGAAUUGCAAGAGUUCUUUAUGUAUUCUGGAUACAAGCCCUUUGUCAGAGAUAUGCUUUCUGCAUAUUUUAUCUUAUUCUGUGGGUAGUCUUUUCAUUUUCUCAGUGGUAUCAUUUGCAGCACAGUUAAAAAU
ensembl:lncRNA